rnacentral:rRNA from 1 species
GACGAACGCUGGCGGCGUGCCUAAUACAUGCAAGUUGAGCGCUGAAGGUUGGUACUUGUACCAACUGGAUGAGCAGCGAACGGGUGAGUAACGCGUGGGGGAUCUGCCUUUGAGCGGGGGACAACAUUUGGAAACGAAUGCUAAUACCGCAUAAAAACUUUAAACACAAGUUUUAAGUUUGAAAGAUGCAAUUGCAUCACUCAAAGAUGAUCCCGCGUUGUAUUAGCUAGUCGGUGAGGUAAAGGCUCACCAAGGCGAUGAUACAUAGCCGACCUGAGAGGGUGAUCGGCCACAUUGGGACUGAGACACGGCCCAAACUCCUACGGGAGGCAGCAGUAGGGAAUCUUCGGCAAUGGACGAAAGUCUGACCGAGCAACGCCGCGUGAGUGAAGAAGGUUUUCGGAUCGUAAAACUCUGUUGGUAGAGAAGAACGUUGGUGAGAGUGGAAAGCUCAUCAAGUGACGGUAACUACCCAGAAAGGGACGGCUAACUACGUG